CUGUACUAGUAGAGGACAAAAUGGAGCUCUAUCUUCAGUGUGAAUAGAAAUGACAUAAAGGCUUUGCAGGUCUUUUCACGCAAGUGCAGAGAGAAAGCCAAAGUGGCUCUGGCCAGCUUCCAAGAACAUUUCAGUGAUCUUCAAAGCCACCUGGAAAUGGGCUCUGGUAAUGCAAAUGUCAAGGUAUUUGUAACUAGAACUAAGCAAGAUAAAU
rnacentral:lncRNA from 1 species